rnacentral:pre_miRNA from 1 species
UAAAUACUCCCUCCGUUCGGAAUUACUUGUCGCAGAAAUAGAUGUAUCUAGAUGUAUUUUAGUUAUAGAUACAUCCAUUUCCGAGACAAGUAAUUCCGAACGGAGGGAGUAGUAA